rnacentral:rRNA from 1 species
CCUACGGGAGGCAGCAGUGGGGAAUAUUGCGCAAUGGGCGAAAGCCUGACGCAGCGACGCCGCGUGAGGGAUGAAGGUCUUCGGAUCGUAAACCUCUGUCAGCAGGGAAGAACGGUCACUGUGCUAAUCAGCAGUGAAUUGACGGUACCUGCAAAGGAAGCACCGGCUAACUCCGUGCCAGCAGCCGCGGUAAUACGGAGGGUGCGAGCGUUAAUCGGAAUUACUGGGCGUAAAGCGCUCGUAGGCGGUAUGUCAAGUCAAGGGUGAAAUCCCCGCGCUCAACGUGGGAACUACCUUUGAAACUGGGAGACUGGAGUGUGUGAGAGGAUGGUGGAAUUCCAGGUGUAGGAGUGAAAUCCGUAGAUAUCUGGAGGAACAUCAGUGGCGAAGGCGACUAUCUGGCACAUAACUGACGCUGAGGAGCGAAAGCGUGGGUAGCAAACAGGAUUAGAUACCCCAGUAGUC